GGCAACUUCGCGCGCGUUCGGAAAAAACGAGCAUCGACUCCCUCUAUCACACGUGUGUGUGUACACACGUUCAUAUCAGUUUCGUCGCGUCGUUCUCCGGAUCCAAAUUCGAUUCUGCUGAACUGUUCAUUAGCAAAAUUCCGUUUUACGUAUGAAGAAUUUGAAAAUUCAAAAAAUUCCCGUGUAUCGACUAGCCCUUUGUUCACUCUUUGAGGAAAAAAAAAGCGCUGAACAUCCGAAACGGCUCCGGCGAAGCUCGACGCUUUGAAAAAUGCAACCGAUCGGCUGUACCAAGGAGGACAACUGCAAGCGCGACGCCUUCCUUCGAGCGCAAGCACGAGCUGCGGCGGCCAAAGGCCAGAAAAACGUCGAACUACUCCAAGAAGCCGGUGGCGGUUGCUGUUGUCUAGCCGCGUGUGCCAAAGUCACCGUCGCCAAUCAACAGCAGUCGCCGGAACCGACGGAACAAUUAGUCGUCGAAACUCCGCGGGAGGAAGCAGUGCCGACGGCCACAUCGACAGUGGAAACGGUCGACGGAAACAGCGCACCAGAAGAGACCGCGGAGUCACCGUAGAUUUUUCGUUCUCCUCCGUAUAUACCACUUGCGGCGAGUCAUGGGUGACGAAUUAGCCCCUGGGAGCGAAUCAACCGGGGAUUAACUGUACGGAGAAGUUCGACGCGAAGAGAGAGAGAGAGAGAGAUAGAAACACGGAGAGCCAUGUCGAGAGAACAAUGCAAGGGACAAUACUGCAGCCAGGACUCGGAGUGCGACGACGAGGAGAUUUCGAACAGACGGCCAGCAGCGAGACGGGAGAGCAACGACGACGAGGACGACGCUGCCGCGAGGAAAGAAAGAUUCGACGAGGCGGUGUUUACACUCGCUACUAUCGUCGCCGUCCUGGGGAUCUACGGCUGUCUCGUCUACGCCCUCAGUAGUCCGCCGGCUGCGAAUGCUUCCGAUUACGCUCAGGUCUGACGAAGAAGCUCGCGCGAGAGUCUCUUCGGUGGUCGCUUCAGUUGACGUGUAUGUGAGCGAAGCAGGAGACGUAGUGGUAGGUACCGAUGCGACUUUGCGGGGGAGAGACACUCUAGAGGGUUGAAAGGCCAGGAAUGCGGAAGACGAGAAGAAGAGAGACGUGGCGAUGAAAGGCAUCAGGAUGAACUAAACUACACGCGGCAUUGAAUGAUGGUGCUUCCACCGAGCGAGUCGGCUUGUAUUCUUGUUCGCCGCUGUCGCGCACCUUAUUCGAGUAAAUCAGCCAUGUGAGCUUUUUUAUACGGAAGCGGAUGCAUCAAGUUUGCGUAAUUAAAUACUGCGUAAAAGAA
rnacentral:lncRNA from 1 species